rnacentral:rRNA from 1 species
UACGUAGGGGGCAAGCGUUGUCCGGAUUUAUUGGGCGUAAAGAGCGUGUAGGCGGCCAGACAGGUCUGCUGUGAAAACUCGAGGCUCAACCUCGAGACGCCGGUGGAAACCGUCUGGCUAGAGUCCGGAAGAGGAGAGUGGAAUUCCUGGUGUAGCGGUGAAAUGCGCAGAUAUGCGGAGGAACACCGAUGGCGAAGGCAAUCCCCUGGGCCUGCACUGACGCUCAUGCACGAAAGCGUGGGAGCAAACAGG